GACGUAGGGCGCGAGCGUUGUCCGGAUUUAUUGGGCGUAAAGAGCUCGUAGGCGGCUUGUCGCGUCGACUGUGAAAUCCCGCGGCUCAACCUCGGGCCUGCAGUGGGUACGGGCAGACUAGAGUGCGGUAGGGGAGAUUGGAAUUCCUGGUGUAGCGGUGAAAUGCGUAGAGAUGUGGAGGAAUACCGAUGGCGAAGGCAGCCCCUGGGUCAAUACUGACGCUCAUGCACGAAAGCGUGGGGA
rnacentral:rRNA from 1 species